rnacentral:piRNA from 1 species
GCCAGCGAGCCAAGCCAGCCAAGACAGCUAGC